CACGGUAAACGAUGGAUGCCCGCUGUUUGCGAUAUAUUGUAAGCGGCCAAGCGAAAGCGUUAAGCAUCCCACCUGGGGAGUACGCCGGCAACGGUGAAACUCAAAGGAAUUGACGGGGGCCCGCACAAGCGGAGGAACAUGUGGUUUAAUUCGAUGAUACGCGAGGAACCUUACCCGGGCUUGAACUGCAGGCGAACGAUACAGAGAUGUUGAGGCCCUUCGGGGCGCCUGUGGAGGUGCUGCAUGGUUGUCGUCAGCUCGUGCCGUGAGGUGUCGGCUUAAGUGCCAUAACGAGCGCAACCCCUUUCGUCAGUUGCCAUCAGGUUAGGCUGGGCACUCUGGCGACACUGCCACCGUAAGGUGUGAGGAAGGUGGGGAUGACGUCAAAUCAGCACGGCCCUUACGUCCGGGGCUACACACGUGUUACAAUGGGUGAUACAGAGCGUCGGCGCUUGGCAAUAAGCGUCCAAUCGUGAAAGUCAUCCUCAGUUCGGAUUGGGGUCUGCAACCCGACC
rnacentral:rRNA from 1 species